GAAUAAGAUAAUCCUAUAAGAUAAGAUAGAAUGUUUGAACAGGAAAAUAAAGGAAAGGUGUAGUUAUGCGUUUGAAGAAUGGAAGUAAUAGUUUGGUGCUAUAGUUCGGUAAGAUAGUAGGGGCUUUCAAUGAUCAAUCAGAAUUCUAGGUGUGGCUCGGGAAGGGAAGGAUUAAUAAGAAAGGAAAGAAGUCAGUUUGGUAAGGUCCGUUUUCAGAGUUCAAUGAAAGGCUAAAGUCAGAGGCUAGAUCGUUCCCUAAGGAAUAGGAAUAGAAGCUAGGCGCCUAUACUAGCGGAAAGGGAGGCAGAGCCAAGCUUAGAUAAAGGAAAGUCAAGCGUCGAAGUAGGGAUCCUGAUCAAUAAUCAUAGAAUUCCUGUAAUGAGCGGUAGACUCCGAGCAAAGGUAUUGAGACUCAGAUAAAGCAGUGCCGGGCCGGGAAAGAGGCAGUGAACUAACGAGCUGCUGUUUGAGAAUAAGGAGUUGUAGCUUGGGAGCGGCGGAGUCACAGAAUAAUAGGUGGUGGUGGUUAGGUUAGAUAGAUAGCCUUCGAGACGGGGAAGUCAUAGUGCAAGGUAAGAGUUACAGACAAAUAGUCAAGGUAGUCAGACUUAUGGACCGGAGUACUCGUUCAGGAGUCACUACCAAACCAAAACCUAGUGCUCUGUAUCGCCUAACAAACCUAGUUAUUUCUUAGCAAAGAAAAAGGAUGAAAGGCUGUAGCCGAAGAAUUGAGCUAGCAACAACAAGAAUACAAAUCUAAAGAAAGUGGGAAUCGAACUGAGCAGUCCAAGAAUCAAAUAGGAACUACAGGGCCAAGCAGCCCAAUAGGAGUCAUUCAGAAUUCUUACCUGUGAUGUUAGUUGGUGCAAGGUCGAGGUGAACCAACUUUGCUUAGAGUAUAUGAACCCAGUAUCAGACUCAUAGUAAUAGUAACCAGUAUCAUACUAAUGGUGGAGAGCUAGAAGACCCGUGUUUCUAAUGAUCAUACUAAUGGUGGAGAGCUAGAAGACCCGUGUUUCUAAUGAGUUUUAAUGGAGAGUAUUCGUACUAUAAUGGAGAGUAUUCGUACAAAGAAGGGUUUAUUAGUACUAAUAGGUGGUACGAUCUAGCAAGGUGAUAUGAUCUAGUGCCCAGGUGCUCUGUGCUUUGUUUUUCAGUCAGAAAGAAACUAGCACUUCUCGGUCUAAAACACCCUAUAUAACUACUAACUAGGGGCCGAAUACAGGACUU
rnacentral:lncRNA from 1 species